GCAAACAAAAAAACCACCGCUACCAGCGGUGGUUUGUUUGCCGGAUCAAGAGCUACCAACUCUUUUUCCGAAGGUAACUGGCUUCAGCAGAGCGCAGAUACCAAAUACUGUUCUUCUAGUGUAGCCGUAGUUAGGCCACCACUUCAAGAACUCUGUAGCACCGCCUACAUACCUCGCUCUGCUAAUCCUGUUACCAGUGGCUGCUGCCAGUGGCGAUAAGUCGUGUCUUACCGGGUUGGACUCAAGACGAUAGUUACCGGAUAAGGCGCAGCGGUCGGGCUGAACGGGGGGUUCGUGCACACAGCCCAGCUUGGAGCGAACGACCUACACCGAACUGAGAUACCUACAGCGUGAGCUAUGAGAAAGCGCCACGCUUCCCGAAGGGAGAAAGGCGGACAGGUAUCCGGUAAGCGGCAGGGUCGGAACAGGAGAGCGCACGAGGGAGCUUCCAGGGGGAAACGCCUGGUAUCUUUAUAGUCCUGUCGGGUUUCGCCACCUCUGACUUGAGCGUCGAUUUUUGUGAUGCUCGUCAGGGGGGCGGAGCCUAUGGAAA
rnacentral:misc_RNA from 1 species